rnacentral:rRNA from 1 species
UACGGGGGGGGCAAGCGUUGUUCGGAAUUACUGGGCGUAAAGGGCUCGUAGGCGGCCAACUAAGUCAGACGUGAAAUCCCUCGGCUUAACCGGGGAACUGCAUCUGAUACUGGAUGGCUAGAGUUUGGGAGAGGGAUGCGGAAUUCCAGGUGUAGCGGUGAAAUGCGUAGAUAUCUGGAGGAACACCGGUGGCGAAGGCGGCAUCCUGGGCCAGCACUGACGCUGAUGAGCGAAAGCCAGGGGAGCAAACGGG